GUCCUUAGUUACCAGCACGUUAUGGUGGGCACUCUAAGGAGACUGCCGGUGGACAACCGGAGGAAGGUGGGGAUGACGUCAAGUCAUCAUGGCCCUUACGGCCUGGGCUACACACGUGCUACAAUGGUCGGUACAAAGGGUUGCCAAGCCGCGAGGUGGAGCUAAUCCCAUAAAACCGAUCGUAGUCCGGAUCGCAGUCUGCAACUCGACUGCGUGAAGUCGGAAUCGCUAGUAAUCGUGAAUCAGAAUGUCACGGUGAAUACGUUCCCGGGCCUU
rnacentral:rRNA from 1 species